UUGUACUCCUCCUCCUGCUGCCAUUGUUUUAUCCUUUUCCGCUUUUUGUCGCCGCAAAGCGCGAAGCUUUCUCGCUCGCGCUCUCCCGGCUCGACAGCGCGGCGCGGCCGCGUCGUCGGAUGCGCCACGUGCUGCCGGCCGUCCACCGGGCCGUCUCGCGCGGGGCGCGGGCGGCGGCGAUGGGGUCGUCGGCGGGGGCGGGGGCGAGGGACCCGGGCGGGAACCCGACGGUGGGGAGGCUGCGGGAGAUCUUCCGGGGCGGCGGCGACGCGGCAGAUGGCUGGGAGAAGUCCUGGGAGACUGGCGUAACCCCGUGGGAUCUGGGGAAGCCGACGCCUAUCAUCGAGCAUCUCGUUAAAUCAGGAACUCUCCCUAAAGGAAGGGCGUUGGUCCCGGGAUGUGGCAUGGGUUAUGAUGUGGUUGCUCUGGCAAGCCCUGAGAGAUUUGUCGUUGGCUUAGAGAUUUCUAAUAUAGCUGCUGAGAAGGCUAAGCAGUGGUCAUCAUCUUUGCCAAAUGCAGAUUGGUUUGCUUUUCUGGUUGCUGAUUUCUUCAAGUGGAGACCAAGUGAACCAUUUGACCUCAUUUUCGAUUAUACGUUCUUUUGUGCACUUGAUCCGAGCAUGAGGCUGGCUUGGGCAGAGACAGUUAGUCGCCUUCUGAAACCAGAUGGAGAGCUUAUUACCUUGAUAUAUUUGGUGCAUGAACGUGACCGGCUUCUUCCGAUGCCAUCACAUUACUUUGUUCACAACUGGAGGGCACUGCAUAUAAUAUUUCUUCUUACAGAUCAGCGAUCAAGAAGGGGGGCCGCCCUACAAUAAUACAGUUGCUGACUAUCAGAAGGUGCUGGAGCCGCUGGGUUUCAAGGCUGUUUGUAUGGAAGACAACGAGCUCGCUAUUAAACCGCGCAAGGGUGUCGAGAAACUUGGAAGGUGGAAGAGAUGCGGCAGGCCGCAAUCUUCUUUGUGAGCAUAUAUGAAGGCCUUGCUGUAUAGUUUGUAUACACUGUGUAUUGUGUUGGCUGCUGUGCGCAGUUCGUGAUGUGCACUUCCUGAAUGAUGCAUGCGUGAUGUGCGAUUUACUGCCUCCGUCGGAGAUGAAUCGGCCGUGUGAAAUUUCCGUGUGCUCUAAAUGAGCACCGUAUGGUAUGGUGAGAUGCUGUGUGUGUUUUAAGUAUGCUGGCAACUUGGAGAUCCUUUUGUUA